rnacentral:rRNA from 1 species
AGCCGCGGUAAUUCCAGCUCCAAUAGCGUAUAUUAAAGUUGUUGCAGUUAAAAAGCUCGUAGUUGAACUUCGGGGUCUACCCAUUGGUCAGGCUUAAUUGUCUGCACUGGUGAGAUGGAUCUCUACCUUCUGAGGAACUUUCAUGCCAUUUAUUUGGUGUGAUGGGAAAUCAGGACUGUUACUUUGAAAAAAUUAGAGUGUUUAAAGCAGACUAUCGUCUGAAUACAUUAGCAUGGAAUAAUGAAAUAGGACGGACUGAUUCUAUUUCGUUGGUUUCUAGGAUCACCGUAAUGAUUAAUAGGGAUAGUUGGGGGCAUUAGUAUUCAAUUGUCAGAGGUGAAAUUCUUGGAUUUAUUGAAGACUAACUACUGCGAAAGCAUUUGCCAAGGAUGUUUUCAUUAAUCAAGAACGAAAGUUAGGGGAUCGAAGACGAUCAGAUACCGUCGUAGUCUUAACCAUAAACUAUGCCGACUAGGGAUCGGACGAAGUUAAUUUUAUAAUGACGCGUUCGGCACCUUACG